AUAGAGAUAGGGGUUAGGGGAGGGCGCCUGGCAAGUGUAGGUAUGAAACCCAAAGAGCAAACGCAGAAGGGGACAGGGUGGAGGGCUGCAGUGACAGCGAGGGGCCACAGUGCCUGGGAGCAGGGGUGUGGUGUAACAGAAGGGCUGUCAGAGCACAAAAGUUGAUGAGCAGCCCGCUUCUCAGCCCUGCCCCCAGAAGCCGCCAUGAUGCUUCACGGCUGGCCUGCGGAUAGUGUAAAGACGCUUCAGAAACCACAGGGCAGGACUUCGGAGGCUCCCCACAGAGGACUUCAUGGUAUUGGAGCGGGAAAGGGAGAGACCAAAGCUGUAGGACCCUGGGCCAGGGAAACGGAUGGUUCUACCAGGAAGAGGCUGGCUCUUGUUGCGGUGGCCUGUGCACAAGUGCCCUGGCAGGAGACUGCAGCAAGAGCAACAAGCAACAAGAAUUCCUGCCCUCAAGUCUUCACUGGAGACAAGGACUAAACAGGCAAAGGCAGGCCUGACUACAGGAGGAAAGGCGGCUUGAUCAUAGAAACAGACUCUGGAUAACAAGGCCAUGACUGGGGAAUGAAUGGAGGCAGCCGUACAAACUGGGAGAAUUGCACGGAAUAGACCCUCAUCUGGAGCAUCCAGAGGAACAGCACCUUCACUUCUUUUAGGACUCAUCUCCAGCCUUAUGACCU